CCUACGGGGUGCUGCAGUGAGGAAUAUUGGUCAAUGGCCGGGAGGCUGAACCCGCCAAGUCGCGUGAGGGAAGACGGCCCUACGGGUUGUAAACCUCUUUUGUCAGGGAGCCAGGUGCAGGUCGGGACCUGCUGUGAGAGUACCUGCAGAAAAAGCAUCGGCUAACUCCGUGCCAGCCGCCGCGGUAAUACGGGGGAUGCGAGCGUUAUCCGGAUUUAUUGGGGUUAAAGGGUGCGCAGGCGGAGGCACAAGUCAGCGGUAAAAUCUCGGGGCUCAACCCCGCUCCGCCGUUGAAACUGUGUGCCUUGAGUGCGCGAAGGGUAGGCGGAAGGCGUGGUGUAGCGGUGAAAUGCAUAGAUAUCACGCAGAACUCCGAUCGCGAAGGCAGCCUACCGGCGCGCAACUGACGCUCAUGCACGAAAGCGUGGGUAUCGAACAGGAUUAGAUACCCCAGUAGUC
rnacentral:rRNA from 1 species